GACGAACGCUGGCGGCGUGCUUAACACAUGCAAGUCGAACGGAAAGGCCCUGCUUUUUUGGUGUGCUCGAGUGGCGAACGGGUGAGUAACAUGUGAGUCACCUGCCCUUGACUUUGGUAUAACUUCAGGAAACUGGGGCUAAUUCCGGAUAUGAGCUCCCGCUGCAUGGUGGGGGUUGAAAAGUUUCGGCGGUUGGGGAUGGACUCGCGGCUUAUCAGCUUGUUGGUGGGGUAUUGGCUUACCAAGGCGUUGACGGGUAGCCGGCCUGAGAGGGUGACCGGCCACACUGGGACUGAGACACGGCCCAGACUCCUACGGGAGGCAGCAGUGGGGAAUAUUGCACAAUGGGCGGAAGCCUGAUGCAGCAACGCCGCGUGAGGGAUGACGGCCUUCGGGUUGUAAACCGCUUUUGGCAGUGAAGAAGCGAAAGUGACGGUAAUGGGAGAAGAAGCACCGGCUAACUACGUG
rnacentral:rRNA from 1 species